rnacentral:rRNA from 1 species
AAUCCUUUAGAGAUAGAGGAGUGCUCGAAAGAGAACCGUAACACAGGUGCUGCAUGGCUGUCGUCAGCUCGUGUCGUGAGAUGUUGGGUUAAGUCCCGCAACGAGCGCAACCCUUGUCAUUAGUUGCUACAUUCAGUUGGGCACUCUAAUGAGACUGCCGGUGACAACCGGAGGAAGGUGGGGAUGACGUCAAGUCCUCAUGGCCCUUAUAGGUGGGGCUACACACGUCAUACAAUGGAUGGUACAAAGGGUCGCCAACCCGCGAGGGGGAGCCAAUCCCAUAAAGCCAUUCGUAGUCCGGAUCGCAGUCUGCAACUCGACUGCGUGAAGUCGGAAUCGCUAGUAAUCGUGGAUCAGAAUGUCACGGUGAAUACGUUCCCGGGUCUU